UCUCAAUCACCAUCAGUAAAUGAUGAUACUUCACAAGAUACUACACUACUCGCACAAGAAGAAAAGAGCAGCCCACUUUCUUCCAAAGAAAAAUUAGAGCGACCUGUUCGUAAUUUGACAAAUGUUCUUAGUGCAGAUUUUGAUCAACAUUUUAUAACAUUGAAAAAGAACUUAGACGACAUGAGCAGCAAGCUUGACGUCAUUAUUAUGAACCAAGCGAACUUAAAUAAAUGUUUGAUUCCGGAACAGGCUAUCAUUACUAGACCUUCAAAUCUACCUCCUUUACCUUUAAAUGAUAUGAAAAUCUCGAAGAAUUUGACAAAUUUUUAUCUAAAGAUGUAAAUCUGUCGGCAGCGUGUUACUAUUUGAAGAGUUUGCCGUUAGGUGAUAAUGAAAAAAUUGUAGCAUCAAGACUUAUGACCAAAUUGAUGACUAAUUCCUUAGCGAAACAAUUCAACUUUGAUGGUCAUAAUCCUCAAAAGGCUAAAGUUAAUAAAAGGCCAUUUAAGAAACUGAAACUAUGGGAAUUAUUUCAAGGAGUUAUGCUAUUAAAAUUCC